GCCUCGGAAACGGGGUCUAAUACCGGAUACGACGCGCGCACGCAUGUGCUGUGUGUGGAAAGUUUUUUCGGUGGGGGAUGUGCUCGCGGCCUAUCAGCUUGUUGGUGGGGUAAUGGCCUACCAAGGCUUCGACGGGUAGCCGGCCUGAGAGGGUGACCGGCCACACUGGGACUGAGACACGGCCCAGACUCCUACGGGAGGCAGCAGUGGGGAAUAUUGGACAAUGGGCGGAAGCCUGAUCCAGCAACGCCGCGUGAGGGAUGACGGCCUUCGGGUUGUAAACCUCUUUCAGUAUCGACGAAGUUGUGUCUUUUUGGGCAUGGUGACGGUAGGUACAGAAGAAGCACCGGCCAACUACGUGCCAGCAGCCGCGGUAAUACGUAGGGUGCGAGCGUUGUCCGGAAUUAUUGGGCGUAAAGGGCUCGUAGGCGGUUUGUCGCGUCGGGAGUGAAAUCAUCGGGCUUAACUUGGUGCUUGCUUUCGAUACGGGCAGACUAGAGGUAUUCAGGGGAGAACGGAAUUCCUGGUGUAGCGGUGAAAUGCGCAGAUAUCAGGAGGAACACCGGUGGCGAAGGCGGUUCUCUGGGAAUAUCCUGACGCUGAGGAGCGAAAGUGUGGGGAGCGAACAGGAUUAGAUACCCUGG
rnacentral:rRNA from 1 species